CAUUGAAAUAUGGUGGAAGAUGCUAUCAUCAAUCCACUGUUGGAUAAUCCCAAUGAUUUUAUGAUUCAAUUUCUCCCAUUCUUUAUUUGACAUCUUAUCAAACUGAACAAUAACAUCCUCGAUUGGAUCAUGAAAAUCUUAGCAGUAAAGGAGGUCUUCCAUGUAAGGAUUCCAGAUUGAGUAGUUAGUUAAUGUCAGCUUGAUCGUAGUGCCCGACGA
rnacentral:lncRNA from 1 species